rnacentral:rRNA from 1 species
UAUAGAAGGUCAGGCUGAAGACCUUACCCGAUUAGCUGAGAGGUGGUGCAUGGCCGUCGUCAGUUCGUACUGUGAAGCAUCCUGUUAAGUCAGGCAACGAGCGAGACCCACGUCCACAGUUGCCAGCAUACCCUCCGGGGUGAUGGGUACACUGUGGAGACCGCCGCUGCUAAAGCGGAGGAAGGAGUGGGCAACGGUAGGUCAGUAUGCCCCGAAUCUCCCGGGCUACACGCGGGCUACAAUGGUUGGUACAAUGGGCAUCUACCCCGAAAGGGGAAGGAAAUCUCUUAAAGCCAAUCGUAGUUCGGAUUGAGGGCUGCAACUCGCCCUCAUGAAGCUGGAAUCCGUAGUAAUCGCGUUUCAACAGAACGCGGUGAAUACGUCCCUGCUCCUU